rnacentral:rRNA from 1 species
GACGAACGCUGGCGGCGUGCUUAACACAUGCAAGUCGAACGGAAAGGCCUGCUUUCCCUUGUGGAUUGCGGGUACUCGAGUGGCGAACGGGUGAGUAACACGUGAGUGAUCUGCCCCCAACUUGGGUAUAAGCCUGGGAAACUGGGUCUAAUUCCCGAUAGGACUGCAGGGUGGUGCCUGUGGUGGAAAACGAUCUUCUAGUGGUUGGGGAUGAGCUCGCGGCCUAUCAGCUUGUUGGUGGGGUAAUGGCCUACCAAGGCGGCGACGGGUAGCCGGCCUGAGAGGGUGGACGGCGACAUUGGGACUGAGAUACGGCCCAGACGCCUACGGGAGGCAGCAGUGGGGAAUAUUGCACAAUGGGCGGGAGCCUGAUGCGGCGACGCCGCGUGGGGGAUGACGGCCUUCGGGUUGUAAACUCCUUGCGACCGCGAGGAAGCCACCUGGUUGGGAGGGUGGUGACGGUAGUGGUAGAAGAAGCACCGGCUAACUACGUG